GUAUAAGGAGGUAAAAAUGGUAUAACUA
rnacentral:misc_RNA from 1 species